GGAAGAAAUUCGUCCCCGGUGGGGCGGCUGGGCUUCAAACCCAGUGGGCGGCGCCAUGCGUCGCCGGGCGGGUUCGACUCCCGUUUUCUUCCGCCA
rnacentral:tRNA from 1 species